rnacentral:tRNA from 1 species
GCAUUAAUGGGGUAGUGGUAACCUGGGUCGUUGCCAUUCGAGUGUCUAGCUCGACCCGCCGGGGGUUCGAUUCCCCCUUAAUGCA